GACGAACGCUGGCGGCGUGCUUAACACAUGCAAGUCGAACGGAAAGGCCCUGCUUUUGUGGGUGCUCGAGUGGCGAACGGGUGAGUAACACGUGAGUAACCUGCCCUUGACUUUGGGAUAACUUCAGGAAACUGGGGCUAAUACCGGCUAGGAGCUCCUGCUGCAUGGUGGGGGUUGGAAAGUUUCGGCGGUUGGGGAUGGACUCGCGGCUUAUCAGCUUGUUGGUGGGGUAGUGGCUUACCAAGGCUUUGACGGGUAGCCGGCCUGAGAGGGUGACCGGCGACAUUGGGACUGAGAUACGGCCCAGACUCCUACGGGAGGCAGCAGUGGGGAAUAUUGCACAAUGGGCGGAAGCCUGAUGCAGCAACGCCGCGUGCGGGAUGACGGCCUUCGGGUUGUAAACCGCUUUCGCCUGUGACGAAGCGUGAGUGACGGUAAUGGGUAAAGAAGCACCGGCUAACUACGUG
rnacentral:rRNA from 1 species